AAAAAUGAAAAGAAUGGGCAUAACAACUUUACCUAUCGUUCUAACACAAUUAAAUCAAAUGGUAAAGUUAUUACUAUCAAACAGAUUUGGAUUCCAAAAGGAACCAUAUGUCCUAACUCUCAAGGACCCAAGCAAGCUUGGGUACCCAAAAUGAAAAUAUGAGGAUGUAGACAUAGAUGUGCCAAGAUACCCAUGGAACAAAUAGAACUUUCAUACAAAUGGGUGCUCUAGACACAUGUCAAAAAUGAAACUUAAAAUAUACUUAUGAAAAGUAAUUUUAAAUAAAAUAAUAAUAAUAAUGAAAUCAGUAAUCUUUGCAUCUCAUCAUUAUUUUUGUUUUAGUAU
rnacentral:lncRNA from 1 species